GCUUUUAGACCUAAUAUCCAUUUUUCAGGAAAUCAGAAAAAUAAUAUCACAAGGAAACAAUCACACAAAUCCAGAAUUUGGAACCAUCUACAAGUCAUCCGGUCUGAUUUCUUCACAAAGCAAACGCCAGGAGGAAAAAAUGGGGAGAGAUGGUGCUUGCUUAAAAGUGCCUAGCCAGAUUCACAGGCAACUGAAAAGAAACAAAGGACGAGUAUGACAAAUCUUCUCACAUCCUCUAUCAGGGAAAUGGUAAUCCUAAGAGAGGCUGCAACAUUGCUUCAAUGAGUACAACGGAUGAGGGGACCUGCUGUCCUAGGAGGGGAGGGGAAGAAGUAGUGUCUUACUGAAGAAGGAGAAGUCCUACCCCAAAAUGUCUCCCCCUAUCUCUCAAAUCAUUUGUAUCACUGACAACGAAGUAUCUGGAAAAAUGUGUCAUUGUAAGGUAACUUCUUUGGUAGGUAGAUGUCACUAUACUUCGUUGCAGAGGUAUAAAAGCAGAGCAAUUAUGAACUUGGACUCCAAAGCCAUUCUUCUAGGGUUUGAAAUCCUGGCUCUGCUGGUUAAGAGCUUGUAUGACUCUGGACAACUCUCUCACCUUCUCAGUGCCUUAAUUUCCACCUCUGUAAAGUCUUAUAAGUUACAAGAUUGUUGUGAAGAUUCAAGAGUAUGUGUAUCUGAAUCUGUCUAUCAACCAAUAUAUCUAUCUAUGCUUGACUGUAUGAAUGUUGCUAAAUCACUCUGGGGGAACAGACAGACAGUACUAUAAGUAGAGUGCAAAAUACCAUUAUCCACUCACUUAACUAAUAGUUACUGAACAACCACAAUGUGUCAAGACCUCAGCUGAGUGCUAGAGAUAGAGCCAAUGGUGAACAGUUUCUGCUUUGAUAAAGCCAAUAAUUUUCCAGGCUUUAGGUUUGUGAAUAAAGUAUAGAUCAUGCUAGUUCUAUUUUAUGCUAUUCUGCCUAAUCCUUGUUAUUCCCUCUUAGUAAGAAUGAACCUGGCAUAGCUUGCCACACCGCCAUUUCACAGACAAGAAAAAUGAGGCUCAUAUUUUCACCCAGGGUCGAUCACAGACCUAACAGACAGCAAAACUGAGUCAGAACUAACUUCAUCUCUAGUAUUUAUUUGAGGCAAGGUCUCACUCUGUCACCCAGGCUGGAGUGCAGUGGCUUGAUCACAGCUCACCACAGCCUUUACCUCCCAGGCUCCAACAAUUUUUCCACUUCAGCCUCCUGAGCAGCUGAUACUACAGGCACAUGCCACCACAUCUGGCCAACUUUUUUUAAAUUUUUAGUAGAGUCUUGCUAUGUUGCCCACACUGGUCUCGAACUCCUGGGCUCAAGCAAUCCUCCUACCUUAGCUUCCCAAAGUGCUGGGAUUACAGGUGUGAGCUACUGCGCCUGAAGAUUCCCAGCUUUUAAAAAUGACAUCAUCUCCACCUGAAACAUAAACCAACCAGGCUGACUUGUCAAGCUUUUAAUUUUGGGGAUGCAGGAACAUGGUGAAGUUGAAUUAUGGAAAAAAAAAAAAAGUUAAGUCAUUAGAUUGCCCAAAAUAUAACUAUAUUUUAAGACCAUGAAAAGAAUAAAGAGAACAACUUAUGUUGCAAAACCACGUUUCACCUGUUUACUCCCCCACACCCCCACAGUUAGCUUCUAUAGCCAGGAAAUUUAUAAACAAAAAUCUCACUUUAACUUUUCUAUACUCUACUCAGGUCAGGCAAACAUAGUCAUUAGUGAUUUGAAUUAGUUUGCUAAAUAAAUUAAAGUAUACUUUUAAAAGACAGCUGUCAAAGAAAAAGACAAUGGAUUGUGUUUGGAGAACAGAUUAAAAAACAUUGAUCAAAUCUUCCGUGGUUCUUACUGUACUCCAAUACAGUGGGGUUCAUAUGAUGACUUGCAGGUCAUUCAGCUCAUUCAAAUAUAUGUAUUACCUGUUUCAUAUAUGAUCCAUAUGAUGAUAUGUUCAAUACACUGAAUACCUCUCAAAGAAACUGAAAACCAAACUUUCAAGCAUUUUUCUAAUUGUGGAAGUAUCCUUUCCCAAAAGAGAACAUAAUUUUCUACACAUUACUUGAGAUUUCACACCAUAAUGGCUUACCACAAAAAGAAGCAUGGAAAAAGUUUUCUGUUAUUAAAACUACUUAAAUAUCAAAAAGAAACCAUGUUAA
rnacentral:lncRNA from 10 species